AUUGAACGCUGGCGGCAUGCCUUACACAUGCAAGUCGAACGGCAGCGCGGACUUCGGUCUGGCGGCGAGUGGCGAACGGGUGAGUAAUACAUCGGAACGUACCCUGUUGUGGGGGAUAACUAGUCGAAAGAUUAGCUAAUACCGCAUACGACCUGAGGGUGAAAGUGGGGGACCGCAAGGCCUCACGCAGCAGGAGCGGCCGAUGUCUGAUUAGCUAGUUGGUGGGGUAAAGGCCCACCAAGGCGACGAUCAGUAGCUGGUCUGAGAGGACGAUCAGCCACACUGGGACUGAGACACGGCCCAGACUCCCACGGGAGGCAGCAGUGGGGAAUUUUGGACAAUGGGGGCAACCCUGAUCCAGCAAUGCCGCGUGUGUGAAGAAGGCCUUCGGGUUGUAAAGCACUUUUGUCCGGAAAGAAAUCGCGCUGGUUAAUACCUGGCGUGGAUGACGGUACCGGAAGAAUAAGCACCGGCUAACUACGUGCCAGCCGCCGCUGUAA
rnacentral:rRNA from 1 species